GUCCAGACUCCUACGGGAGGCAGCAGUGAGGAAUAUUGGUCAAUGGGCGGAAGCCUGAACCAGCCAAGUCGCGUGAGGGAAGAAGGCCCUGCGGGUCGCAGACCUCUUUGGACGGGGAGCAAGGCCGCCGACGUGUCGGCGGAAGGAGAGUACCCGUAGAACAAGCAUCGGCUAACUCCGUGCCAGCAGCCGCGGUAAUACGGAGGAUGCGAGCGUUAUCCGGAUUUACUGGGUGUAAAGGGCGUGUAGGCGGGCCUGCAAGUCAGAAGUGAAAUCUGGGGGCUUAACCCCCAAACUGCUUUUGAAACUGUGGGUCUUGAGUGAUGGAGAGGCAGGCGGAAUUCCCAGUGUAGCGGUGAAAUGCGUAGAUAUUGGGAGGAACACCAGUGGCGAAGGCGGCCUGCUGGACAUUAACUGACGCUGAGGCGCGAAAGCGUGGGGAGCAAACAGGAUUAGAUACCCCUGUAC
rnacentral:rRNA from 1 species